CUGUUUAGGCAAAAUGGGGGAUCUUUGUGUGAGGUGCGGUCGUGUAGGUUAUACGUCCUUGCUAACAGCCCUUGUCCAAACAGUCUGUGAAGGCUAUGCGGGGGUUCUUUGUCUUUUGCCUUUGUGAUGUUUUAAUUCGGGCUUUUUAACUUUUAAAAUGAAAUAGUUGAAUGAAA